AGUGUAGGCGGUUAGGUAGAUAGCGGUGAAAUCCCAGGGCUCAACCUCGGAAUUGCCGUUAUGACUAUUUAGCUUGAAUUAUAGAGAGGAUAGCGGAAUACCCAGUGUAGAGGUGAAAUUCGUAGAUAUUGGGUAGAACACCGGUGGCGAAGGCGGCUAUCUGGCUAUAUAUUGACGCUGAGGCUCGAAAGCAUGGGGAUCAAACA
rnacentral:rRNA from 1 species